rnacentral:rRNA from 1 species
GACGAACGCUGGCGGCGUGCUUAACACAUGCAAGUCGAACGGAAAGGCCCUGCUUUUGUGGGGUGCUCGAGUGGCGAACGGGUGAGUAACACGUGAGUAACCUGCCCUUGACUUUGGGAUAACUUCAGGAAACUGGGGCUAAUACCGGAUAGGAGCUCCUGCUGCAUGGUGGGGGUUGGAAAGUUUCGGCGGUUGGGGAUGGACUCGCGGCUUAUCAGCUUGUUGGUGGGGUAGUGACUUACCAAGGCUUUGACGGGUAGCCGGCCUGAGAGGGUGACCGGCCACAUUGGGACUGAGAUACGGCCCAGACCCCUACGGGAGGCAGCAGUGGGGAAUAUUGCACAAUGGGCGGAAGCCUGAUGCAGCAACGCCGCGUGCGGGAUGACGGCCUUCGGGUUGUAAACCGCUUUCGCCUGUGACGAAGCGUGAGUGACGGUAAUGGGUAAAGAAGCACCGGCUAACUACGUG